rnacentral:rRNA from 1 species
AGAACUGAAACAUCUUAGUACCCGGAGGAAGAGAAAGAAAAUUCGAUUCCCUUAGUAGCGGCGAGCGAAACGGGAAGAGCCCAAACCAACAAGCUUGCUUGUUGGGGUUGUAGGACACUCUAUACGGAGUUACAAAGGACGACAUUAGACGAAUCAUCUGGAAAGAUGAAUCAAAGAAGGUAAUAAUCCUGUAGUCGAAAAUGUUGUCUCUCUUGAGUGGAUCCUGAGUACGACGGAGCACGUGAAAUUCCGUCGGAAUCUGGGAGGACCAUCUCCUAAGGCUAAAUACUCUCUAGUGACCGAUAGUGAACCAGUACCGUGAGGGAAAGGUGAAAAGCACCCCGGAAGGGGAGUGAAAUAGAACCUGAAACCGUGUGCUUACAAGUAGUCAGAGCCCGUUAAUGGGUGAUGGCGUGCCUUUUGUAGAAUGAACCGGCGAGUUACGAUUUGAUGCAAGGUUAAGCAGUAAAUGUGGAGCCGUAGCGAAAGCGAGUCUGAAUAGGGCGUUUAGUAUUUGGUCGUAGACCCGAAACCAGGUGAUCUACCCUUGGUCAGGUUGAAGUUCAGGUAACACUGAAUGGAGGACCGAACCGACUUACGUUGAAAAGUGAGCGGAUGAACUGAGGGUAGCGGAGAAAUUCCAAUCGAACCUGGAGAUAGCUGGUUCUCUCCGAAAUAGCUUUAGGGCUAGCCUCAAGUGAUGAUUAUUGGAGGUAGAGCACUGUUUGGACGAGGGGCCCCUCUCGGGUUACCGAAUUCAGACAAACUCCGAAUGCCAAUUAAUUUAACUUGGGAGUCAGAACAUGGGUGAUAAGGUCCGUGUUCGAAAGGGAAACAGCCCAGACCACCAGCUAAGGUCCCAAAAUAUAUGUUAAGUGGAAAAGGAUGUGGCGUUGCCCAGACAACUAGGAUGUUGGCUUAGAAGCAGCCAUCAUUUAAAGAGUGCGUAAUAGCUCACUAGUCGAGUGACACUGCGCCGAAAAUGUACCGGGGCUAAACAUAUUACCGAAGCUGUGGAUUGUCCUUUGGACAAUGGUAGGAGAGCGUUCUAAGGGCGUUGAAGCAUGAUCGUAAGGACAUGUGGAGCGCUUAGAAGUGAGAAUGCCGGUGUGAGUAGCGAAAGACGGGUGAGAAUCCCGUCCACCGAUUGACUAAGGUUUCCAGAGGAAGGCUCGUCCGCUCUGGGUUAGUCGGGUCCUAAGCUGAGGCCGACAGGCGUAGGCGAUGGAUAACAGGUUGAUAUUCCUGUACCACCUAUAAUCGUUUUAAUCGAUGGGGGGACGCAGUAGGAUAGGCGAAGCGUGCGAUUGGAUUGCACGUCUAAGCAGUAAGGCUGAGUAUUAGGCAAAUCCGGUACUCGUUAAGGCUGAGCUGUGAUGGGGAGAAGACAUUGUGUCUUCGAGUCGUUGAUUUCACACUGCCGAGAAAAGCCUCUAGAUAGAAAAUAGGUGCCCGUACCGCAAACCGACACAGGUAGUCAAGAUGAGAAUUCUAAGGUGAGCGAGCGAACUCUCGUUAAGGAACUCGGCAAAAUGACCCCGUAACUUCGGGAGAAGGGGUGCUCUUUAGGGUUAACGCCCAGAAGAGCCGCAGUGAAUAGGCCCAAGCGACUGUUUAUCAAAAACACAGGUCUCUGCUAAACCGUAAGGUGAUGUAUAGGGGCUGACGCCUGCCCGGUGCUGGAAGGUUAAGAGGAGUGGUUAGCUUCUGCGAAGCUACGAAUCGAAGCCCCAGUAAACGGCGGCCGUAACUAUAACGGUCCUAAGGUAGCGAAAUUCCUUGUCGGGUAAGUUCCGACCCGCACGAAAGGCGUAACGAUUUGGGCACUGUCUCAACGAGAGACUCGGUGAAAUCAUAGUACCUGUGAAGAUGCAGGUUACCCGCGACAGGACGGAAAGACCCCGUGGAGCUUUACUGUAGCCUGAUAUUGAAAUUCGGCACAGCUUGUACAGGAUAGGUAGGAGCCUUUGAAACGUGAGCGCUAGCUUACGUGGAGGCGCUGGUGGGAUACUACCCUAGCUGUGUUGGCUUUCUAACCCGCACCACUUAUCGUGGUGGGAGACAGUGUCAGGCGGGCAGUUUGACUGGGGCGGUCGCCUCCUAAAAGGUAACGGAGGCGCUCAAAGGUUCCCUCAGAAUGGUUGGAAAUCAUUCAUAGAGUGUAAAGGCAUAAGGGAGCUUGACUGCGAGACCUACAAGUCGAGCAGGGUCGAAAGACGGACUUAGUGAUCCGGUGGUUCCGCAUGGAAGGGCCAUCGCUCAACGGAUAAAAGCUACCCCGGGGAUAACAGGCUUAUCUCCCCCAAGAGUUCACAUCGACGGGGAGGUUUGGCACCUCGAUGUCGGCUCAUCGCAUCCUGGGGCUGUAGUCGGUCCCAAGGGUUGGGCUGUUCGCCCAUUAAAGCGGUACGCGAGCUGGGUUCAGAACGUCGUGAGACAGUUCGGUCCCUAUCCGUCGUGGGCGUAGGAAAUUUGAGAGGAGCUGUCCUUAGUACGAGAGGACCGGGAUGGACAUACCUCUGGUGUACCAGUUGUCGUGCCAACGGCAUAGCUGGGUAGCUAUGUGUGGACGGGAUAAGUGCUGAAAGCAUCUAAGCAUGAAGCCCCCCUCAAGAUGAGAUUUCCCAACUUCGGUUAUAAGAUCCCUCAAAGAUGAUGAGGUUAAUAGGUUCGAGGUGGAAGCAUGGUGACAUGUGGAGCUGACGAAUACUAAUCGAUCGAAGACUUAAUCAA